AGAGGAACAAAAACCAGUUGUGUGUGUUAGUGUGUUUAUAAAAAAGAAAAGACCGUGAAAAGGGAACGGGGGAGUGCGCUUUACUGCCACUCUUUGUCCGCGUCUCCACAUCCGCGUGCAUCCAGGGGAUUUCUGUGGAUCUGCGUGUGGAUCUGCGGUCGUGUUUGGUUCGGUCCGAUUCUGGUGCGUAAUGUGGGACCCGAAACGGGACGCGUCGGUAGCGGUCGCUCUGCGGGGUCCCUUCGCGUCGAAAAUUGGAGAUUUAUAGAAUUGGUCAAGCACCCAAAACGGGGGGAGAGGGAGAAAGAGACAGAAAGAGAGAAAAUCCGUUUGGCUCUCUGGCGCGGAGGCCCCUGGACCCGUGACGAGGUAGACCCGGGUCAGUGACGAGGUGGACCCGGGUCCGCUGAGGCCCUUGGACCCGUGACGAGGUAGACCCGGACCCGUGACCAGUUCACAUCCAUUGAUUAUUCCAGAAAGUGUACUGGGAACACCAGCCAAAGCCCGUGGGGAGAAACAGACGUCUGAGCAUAGAACAGUAUCGGCUUCCUGUGUUGUCCUGGCCAUCAGAGCUAAUUACCCAGCACAAGACGGGCAGUACUGUGGCUACCAGGAGACAGUAGAUGCUCAAGAUGAGCUGUGACUAUUUUCACUCUAGCAAACGCGCACUACACAUUUUAUUUUUGUAAAUAGUUCAUAUUUUUUCAUGAAUAAAUCUUCAAAUUCAUGUUGGUUGUUGUGAUUUUUUUGCUAAACCAAGUGCUGU
ensembl:lncRNA